GCAAAAGGAGAAAUCCGCCCAAGGAGGGGCUCGCGUCUGAUUAGCUAGUUGGUGAGGCAAUAGCUUACCAAGGCGAUGAUCAGUAGCUGGUCCGAGAGGAUGAUCAGCCACACUGGGACUGAGACACGGCCCAGACUCCUACGGGAGGCAGCAGUAGGGAAUAUUGGACAAUGGGGGCAACCCUGAUCCAGCAAUGCCGCGUGAGUGAUGAAGGCCUUAGGGUUGUAAAGCUCUUUUACCAGAGAUGAUAAUGACAGUAUCUGGGGAAUAAGCCCCGGCUAACUCCGUGCCAGCAGCCGCGGUAAUACGGAGGGGGCUAGCGUUGUUCGGAAUUACUGGGCGUAAAGCGCACGUAGGC
rnacentral:rRNA from 1 species